UACGUAGGGGGCUAGCGUUGUCCGGAAUCAUUGGGCGUAAAGCGCGUGUAGGCGGUCCGGUAAGUCCGCUGUGAAAGUCGAGGGCUCAACCUCGAAUGCCGGUGGAUACUGUCGGGCUUGAGUACGGGAGAGGCGAGUGGAAUUCCUAGUGUAGCGGUGAAAUGCGCAGAUAUCGGGAAGAACACCCGUGGCGAAGGCGGUUCUCUGGGACGGUACUGACGCUGAGACGCGAAAGCGUGGGGAGCGAACAGG
rnacentral:rRNA from 1 species